GAUGAACGCUGGCGGCGUGCCUAAUACAUGCAAGUCGAGCGAACAGACGAGGAGCUUGCUCCUCUGACGUUAGCGGCGGACGGGUGAGUAACACGUGGAUAACCUACCUAUAAGACUGGGAUAACUUCGGGAAACCGGAGCUAAUACCGGAUAACAUGUUGAACCGCAUGGUUCAACAGUGAAAGACGGUCUUGCUGUCACUUAUAGAUGGAUCCGCGCCGCAUUAGCUAGUUGGUAAGGUAACGGCUUACCAAGGCAACGAUGCGUAGCCGACCUGAGAGGGUGAUCGGCCACACGGGAACUGAGACACGGUCCAGACUCCUACGGGAGGCAGCAGUAGGGAAUCUUCCGCAAUGGGCGAAAGCCUGACGGAGCAACGCCGCGUGAGUGAAGAAGGUCUUCGGAUCGUAAAACUCUGUUAUUAGGGAAGAACAAAUGUGUAAGUAACUAUGCACGUCUUGACGGUACCUAAUCAGAAAGCCACGGCUAACUACGU
rnacentral:rRNA from 1 species